CUCACAUAAGUAUAGGGUCUUUUUUUGUUUUAACUUUUCGGCUGUUGUUCACCACAUUAAGAAAGAGAUGAUUUAACCACAAUAGGUCUGAGGAUACAAAUUAAAAUCAUCCAUGCAUUUGAAUAUUAACUUGGGUCCAAGUUUAAAAAUUAUUCAAAAUUUUAAAAAUUACUUCCAAGGUAGGCAACGAGAACAAAUAACACACGGUGUUUGAAACUUAUUUGAAAGCUAUUCCAUAUUUGUAUAUUAUAAAUCCAAAUGCAUAAGAAUAAAGAUUACUGUAAACCUAACGAUCAGAUACUGAAAUAGUAUUUAUCCUCAACAUUGUAUUAUAGCUAUUUGUCAUUUAAUGAGUUACUACGUUUUGGUACUUAAUUGGAUAUUUUAGGUAAUUAUAGAUUCUGUUAACCUUAAUAUUGUAACAAUUAGCAGGUACAUAUGUUAAAAUUACUAAUCAACUACCUCUUUUUUAGUCAUUAAAUAAGACACU